UACGUAGGACCCAAGCGUUAUCCGGAGUGACUGGGCGUAAAGAGUUGCGUAGGCGGCAGAUAAAGCGAAUGGUGAAACCUGAUGGCUCAACCAUCAGACUAUUAUUCGAACUCAUCUGCUCGAGAGUGAGAGAGGUACCUGGAAUUUCUAGUGUAGGAGUGAAAUCCGUAGAUAUUAGAAGGAACACCAAUGGCGUAAGCAGGGUACUGGCUCAUUUCUGACGCUAAGGCACGAAAGCGUGGGGAGCGAACCGG
rnacentral:rRNA from 1 species